UACGUAGGGUGCAAGCGUUGUCCGGAAUUAUUGGGCGUAAAGAGCUCGUAGGCGGUCUGUCGCGUCUGCUGUGAAAACUCGGGGCUUAACCCCGGGCCUGCAGUGGGUACGGGCAGUCUAGAGUGCGGUAGGGGAGACUGGAAUUCCUGGUGUAGCGGUGAAAUGCGCAGAUAUCAGGAGGAACACCGGUGGCGAAGGCGGGUCUCUGGGCCGUAACUGACGCUGAGGAGCGAAAGCGUGGGGAGCGAACAGG
rnacentral:rRNA from 1 species